ACACACACACACACACACACACACACACACGCUCUGCGGGAGACUCCCCAGCCUGACCUUUUUUCUCUCCGACAGACGAAAGAGUUGAGAAAGUUGCGCGGCGCUGCGGAGAGCCUCCAGCUGCAGUAGCACUUCAGUCCCGGAGGAGUUGGCGACACAACCCAUAGAAUACAACCCUGAGCCAACGUGUUGGAGGGUGUUAGGGCCACCUAACCUUGUCAAUCCUGACGACAAGAAAAGGAAAAGAGGAAAAAAGGAGGAGGGGGUAUACAAACUGUGGCUUCUUUCACUUGUCUAAUGACUUUCUCUGGCAUGUAUUGAUCACCCCUUUGUAACCCCUGCAGCCCCCGGAGACUCCAAGAACGGGUUUCAUGUUACCCGCUUUCACAGAGAAUGAAGGAGGAUGGAGGCAGUCGUGAAGAAGGAAAAGGAGGAGCAGAGGAAUAGAUGAGGGGCUUAUUGUGAAGCAAAAAGUGAGGAGGAAACCAGAAAGAAGAAAUGAAUCCUUGUGUUUGUUGAAGAGAUGAGACAUUGUUUUCAACAAAAAAAUUYAUACUGAAUGAUAGAAAGGGUAUGUUUUUAGAGAACAUGCUCAUGAUGCAGAGGGUGACAAAAGGCAGAAACCUCUAAGUUUGCGUGGGAUGGAGAUGGUGGGGAGUCUAGGGUCAGCUGAAACCCCCAAGCUCGCUCCCGCCAACCGGGUUGAGUUCUGAUUUUGCUCCUGUGUUGCACAUGAUACAGAGGGCCAGCUUGAAUCCUCCUGGGAGAACUGGCCGRGGACAGAGCAACUCCUCUAAUUACAAGAACCAAUCAACCCGACCUGUAUUCAGAUCUGACCUCCUGCCUGACUCUCUGCACCCUUAAUUAAAGUCAAAAGUCUUCUGAAGAAAACUGAGGUGUGAUGGAGAAGGACCAACGUGCAAUCUGACAGUUUUGUAUGUGCAAAGUUUGUGAACUUCUCUAACUAGCUCCUCCUUUCCUAAAGAUAUGUUCAYGUGAACAUAUGUGGGGAUUUUGCUAUUUCUUGUAAAGUAUGAAUGGUCAUAUUCUAUCUGAGCCUGUACAGAAGGUACAUUUUUAUGGGUGUGGACACAGGUGCCAAGUUUAGUGAGUGAAUACGUUAAGGAUCUGGAUCUAGGUGUGGAAGUGUGACUUGUACGAGAGCRGCAACAGUUUUGGAUGAAUGCAUACAUUCAAGAUUGAAGUAGCAACAAUGUUCCACCGCUUUUGGACCAAAGUGUGAGUUUAGCCUCAUCGCUUAACACAACAAUGCUUAUUGGGGCUUCAACCCAUGAGAAAAAAAAAAAAAGAAAGUCUUGUUCCACAAACUUGAAGAAAUUAAAAAAACACCUUCUGCUAAUCGGAAUGCUGAGUGUGAAUGCACAAAAAGCAUAUAGUUACGCAAACCCAUUUCUGUUUUGUAUUUCUCACAACCCUCACAGAAGCAAACAUAUCGAUAACGUUCACCAGCCUCACACAGCCAUCUACUGUCUGUUCUGCUUCCAGUUUACAACUUUUAAAAACUCGGCUUGAUCGAGUCCAGGCCUUAACUUUAUGUGUGCAGUCACUGAAAACUAACCAGGCAGACCCUCUCAGCACAGACUUGCUCACCUAGCCCUCAGCCUAAUAUCCUCUCUGCAGCUGGUGGAGUCAGAGUGCACUUGUCAUGGGGCUUGUGCGGAGCUGCAGUGGGUAUUAUACAUGUUUUAUUAACAUAUGUAAAGCUAAGCUCCAGAUGGAAACAAUGUGUAGUUAUUUUUUUCUUUUUUUUUUGU